UACUGUCACCAGCUGCACUGAGAGCUAAAAUAACUGCAAAAGGCUGAACCCAGCUCAACAAAGUCUGAAGCGAGCAGAAUCUUUCAAUAAUGUGGAAAUGUGUGCAGCAGGGGAUGUGAGUAUGACUAGCUGGACCAGAAUUUAUUGCCCAUCCAUAACUACCCUGGAGAAGUUGGUGGUGAGCUAACGUUUUGAACUGCUGCUGUCCAUUUCACAUAAGUACACCCCCAAUGCUGUUAAGGAAGGAAUUCCAGGAUUUUGAUCCAGUGGCACUGAAGGAAUAUAUUCUUCCAGGCACCUACCAAGUCAGGAUGACUUGUGAAUGAAGAAGAUCAUGAAAGGAAACAGUAUAAAAGUAGUGACAUGCUUUUCCUUUGAAACUAAAAUAAAAACAUUUCUGCUUCCAUGACUUGAUGGCAUGAACACACUGAGAAGGCAACUUCAAUGGUCCUCAUUAAAUGCAUGUUCAGUGAUGAAUAUUAAUUGGAUGUGGUGUUAAUGGAUGUCAGCAUGUUUGGUUGGUUGGGAUAUUAUUUCAAGAUUAAUAUUUCAACAGUAGCAAAUAAAUACAUUCCCAAAGUGUGCUGUUUCUGGUUGUAAAAAAUUGUCUGGCAGACCAGGAGGUUACCAAAUAAGGGAAACACACAAGCUAUUUGCCUUCUUAUGUGCCAAGGGGAGGUAGUGAGUUUUACUUGCUGAGAUGUGAAUAUUGAUGCCUUGUAAUGUAUA